ACCUCCGCGCCGCGCGGACCCUCCGAGCCCGCGCUCAGACGCCCCAGCUCCGCCGAGAGGCCGCUUGCGCCGGGUCCUUCUUCCCCAAAUGCAGGCAGAGCCCCCGGAGCCAUGGCCAGCCCUUCCGGCAGCUCCAAAGCCACUGGCAAGCCCCGAGGCAGGGAUGGCCGGCCCAGGAGGGAGGAGGACGACGUCCCUCCCGAAGAGAAGAGGCUGCGGCUCUUGCUGGAGGGGGGAAGCGCACAGCCCCAGGACUGCGAGGACGGGGAGGACGCGCCGCGGCCGGGCAGGGAGGAGACCGGCACCCAGACAGGUGGCGACGGCAGAGGAAGGUCCAGAUGCAUUCCGUUUUGAGAAUGUCAAUGGAUACACCAACUGCUGCUUUGGAUUUCACCGGUUGGCGGUAGUUGACCCGCUGUUUGGAAUGCAGCCAAUUCGAGUGAAGAAAUAUCCGUAUUUGUGGCUCUGUUACAAUGGUGAAAUCUACAACCAUAAGAAGAUGCAACAGCAUUUUGAAUUUGAAUACCAGACCAAAGUGGAUGGUGAGAUAAUCCUUCAUCUUUAUGACAAAGGAGGAAUUGAGCAAACAAUUUGUAUGUUGGAUGGUGUGUUUGCAUUUGUUUUACUGGAUACUGCCAAUAAGAAAGUGUUCCUGGGUAGAGAUACAUAUGGAGUCAGACCUUUGUUUAAAGCAAUGACAGAAGAUGGAUUUUUGGCUGUAUGUUCAGAAGCUAAAGGUCUUGUUACAUUGAAGCACUCCGCGACUCCCUUUUUAAAAGUGGAGCCUUUUCUUCCUGGACACUAUGAAGUUUUGGAUUUAAAGCCAAAUGGCAAAGUUGCAUCCGUGGAAAUGGUUAAAUAUCAUCACUGUCGGGAUGUACCCCUGCACGCCCUCUAUGACAAUGUGGAGAAACUCUUUCCAGGUUUUGAGAUAGAAACUGUGAAGAACAACCUCAGGAUCCUUUUUAAUAAUGCUGUAAAGAAACGUUUGAUGACAGACAGAAGGAUUGGCUGCCUUUUAUCAGGGGGCUUGGACUCCAGCUUGGUUGCUGCCACUCUGUUGAAGCAGCUGAAAGAAGCCCAAGUACAGUAUCCUCUCCAGACAUUUGCAAUUGGCAUGGAAGACAGCCCCGAUUUACUGGCUGCUAGAAAGGUGGCAGAUCAUAUUGGAAGUGAACAUUAUGAAGUCCUUUUUAACUCUGAGGAAGGCAUUCAGGCUCUGGAUGAAGUCAUAUUUUCCUUGGAAACUUAUGACAUUACAACAGUUCGUGCUUCAGUAGGUAUGUAUUUAAUUUCCAAGUAUAUUCGGAAGAACACAGAUAGCGUGGUGAUCUUCUCUGGAGAAGGAUCAGAUGAACUUACGCAGGGUUACAUAUAUUUUCACAAGGCUCCUUCUCCUGAAAAAGCCGAGGAGGAGAGUGAGAGGCUUCUGAGGGAACUCUAUUUGUUUGAUGUUCUCCGCGCAGAUCGAACUACUGCUGCCCAUGGUCUUGAACUGAGAGUCCCAUUUCUAGAUCAUCGAUUUUCUUCCUAUUACUUGUCUCUGCCACCAGAAAUGAGAAUUCCAAAGAAUGGGAUAGAAAAACAUCUCCUGAGAGAGACGUUUGAGGAUUCCAAUCUGAUACCCAAAGAGAUUCUCUGGCGACCAAAAGAAGCCUUCAGUGAUGGAAUAACUUCAGUUAAGAAUUCCUGGUUUAAGAUUUUACAGGAAUACGUUGAACAUCAGGUUGAUGAUGCAAUGAUGGCAAAUGCAGCCCAGAAAUUUCCCUUCAAUACUCCUAAAACCAAAGAAGGAUAUUACUACCGUCAAGUCUUUGAACGCCAUUACCCAGGCCGGGCUGACUGGCUGAGCCAUUACUGGAUGCCCAAGUGGAUCAAUGCCACUGACCCUUCUGCCCGCACGCUGACCCACUACAAGUCAGCUGUCAAAGCUUAGGUGGUCUUUAUGCUGUAAUGUGAAAGCAAAUAUUUCUUCGUGUUGGAUGGGGACUGUGGGUAGAUAGGGGAACAAUGAGAGUCAACUCAGGCUAACUUGGGUGUGAAAAAAAUAAAAGUCCUA
ensembl:lncRNA novel transcript